rnacentral:rRNA from 1 species
CCUACGGGAGGCUGCAGUGGGGAAUAUUGGACAAUGGGCGAAAGCCUGAUCCAGCCAUGCCGCGUGUGUGAAGAAGGCCUUCGGGUUGUAAAGCACUUUCAGUGGGGAAGAAAGCCUUGGGGCUAAUACCCUCGAGGAAGGACAUCACCCACAGAAGAAGCACCGGCUAACUCCGUGCCAGCAGCCGCGGUAAUACGGAGGGUGCGAGCGUUAAUCGGAAUUACUGGGCGUAAAGCGCGCGUAGGCGGUCUGAUAAGCCGGUUGUGAAAGCCCCGGGCUCAACCUGGGAACGGCAUCCGGAACUGUCAGGCUAGAGUGCAGGAGAGGAAGGUAGAAUUCCCGGUGUAGCGGUGAAAUGCGUAGAGAUCGGGAGGAAUACCAGAGGCGAAGGCGGCCUUCUGGACUGACACUGACGCUGAGGUGCGAAAGCGUGGGUAGCAAACAGGAUUAGAUACCCGGGUAGUC